UUUAAAUUAACAGUAAUACAAUGCGAUUCAAGUUUAAAAGAUAAACAGGACGAAGGUUUUAAAAUCGCCGAAACAGUUAUGGAAAAUUUCCAAAAUAUGUUUUCCGAAUGCGCAGAUACCAGUAUGCCACAUCAGAAGUAAGUUUUUAUAAAAAUAUUUCUACGCAUAAACUUAACGGUUCUUUAUUUGUUGAUUACCGUAUUUAUAUUAAUAUCUACCAAAU